rnacentral:tRNA from 1 species
AGAAGUUUAGGAUAGACAGACCGAAGGCCUUCAAAGCCUUAAGCGGGAGUGAAACCCUCCCAACCUCUG